GGAGGGGUACCCCUAAUUGGCAAGGGACCGGUUUCGAAAACCGGCGGGAGCAAUCCCUUGUGGGUUCGAGUCCCACCUCCUCCG
rnacentral:tRNA from 1 species